rnacentral:rRNA from 1 species
AUGGCUGAAUGCUUCAAUAGGGUGCUCAAAGGUGCACAUGGAUUACCCGUGACUGCAAUAGUUCAAUACACAUUUGACAAGAUGAAUGCGUACUUUGUAAAGUACUCGAUGGAAAUGGAUGCAUAGAUAGCGGGUGAGAACCCGCGCAAGUACAAGUACAAGUUCCCACCCAAGGUUGAUGAAUGGUUGGAAUUUCAAUCAUGGAAGGCGGACUCAGAAGAAGCUAUAUUAUAUGACAACGAAGAGUGGAAGUACGAAGUGAAAGAGCCAGGAGGAACCACAAACGAUGGCCGCCAACAUGGAGAUCGGGCUUUCAAGGUGUCGUUAACACAAUGUGAUUGCUCUUGCGGAAGGCCAUUGUUGCUUCAUCUCCCAUUCUCACACUUGUAUACCGCCGGUCGCGUUAGGAAUGUGGACAUCAAUCACCCAUGCACCGUGAGGGAGUCGGAGUUCUCAAUCAUGACGGUCAAAAAAACAUGGGCUCCCCACUUUCACCCGUACUUUGACCAAUCACAAUGGCCAGAGUACCAUGGAGUUCAACUAUGGCCGGAUCCGGAGUUGAAGGUUGUUAAACGGGGUAGACGUAAGACAAAGCAUCUUAGAGGCAACAUGGACGGAUGGGGCCAUGGUGGCCGCCGUGAAGCGCGCAACGACCAAUUCCAAGAGCCUCGUGAGAGCUCUCAUUGUGGGGAGUGCAAAGUUCAUGGCCACAACAAAAGAAAAUGUAUGAAACCAAGGAAAAGGUCCAAAAAAUGA